GGAACUUUGCAUGCUUGUCAGUCAAUGAUCCUAACUCUUUUUAUGGAUCCUGACAUUGCUUCUUUUUUCUAUGCUUCAAGGUACAAAAGUACUUGGGAUCAAAUUCAGACCGGAUAGACUAAAAAUCAUUCCCAUCUGACGUCCAGGAAAAGGUCAAGAGUUAAAGGAGUACUGGCAGUGGUGCAGCAGUUCCCAGCUUGCAUCUACGCUGCUGGUAUGGGACUCCACAGUCCUUAGCCUGACUCUAUCUCCUGCUGCUCUGAGGGGAUUCCCUGGACAGAUCUUGGGCUUAGUUCUCUGCUUGCUGUGCUGGGAGUUGCUGAUGGCUGCUGUGCUUUGCUGA
rnacentral:lncRNA from 1 species